AUUGAACGCUGGCGGCAGGCCUAACACAUGCAAGUCGAACGGUAACAGGAAGCUGCUUGCUGCUUUGCUGACGAGUGGCGGACGGGUGAGUAAUGUCUGUGAAACUGCCCGAUGGAGGGGGAUAACUACUGGAAACGGUAGCUAAUACCGCAUAACGUCGCAAGACCAAAGAGGGGGACCUUAGGGCCUCUUGCCAUCGGAUGUGCCCAGAUGGGAUUAGCUAGUAGGUGGGGUAACGGCUCACCUAGGCGACGAUCCCUAGCUGGUCUGAGAGGAUGACCAGCCACACUGGAACUGAGACACGGUCCAGACUCCUACGGGAGGCAGCAGUGGGGAAUAUUGCACAAUGGGCGCAAGCCUGAUGCAGCCAUGCCGCGUGUAUGAAGAAGGCCUUCGGGUUGUAAAGUACUUUCAGCGGGGAGGAAGGGAGUAAAGUUAAUACCUUUGCUCAUUGACGUUACCCGCAGAAGAAGCACCGGCUAACUCCGUG
rnacentral:rRNA from 1 species